GCUUUCCCUCUGAGAUUGAGAACUAGAUAAGGAUGCUUUCUAUGAACUGUCAAAGCAGAAAGAGAAGAAGAAGAGAAAAAUUGGAAAAAUAUUAGGAAUUACAAUGCAACAAUUAGGCUACUAAUUUUCUAAUUUCACCUAAUCAUUCAGAUAUAUGGAGAAUUAUGGUAAUAAAGUAGUAAAGCCAUGCACCACAUUAUAUCCAGAAUGGAGAACAAAGGAAGGAAUUCCAUGUGAUGGUAAUGAAGGGGAGGAAGUGGAAAUAAGGCGAUGAGAAGGCAGGAAACAAAAAAGACAAAGGGUCAUGUCAGAAGUGUGAGCCAUGCUGAACUUUAUGGAUAGCAGCACAACAAGUCAAAAGAGAUAAAACACGACUGGAGAAAUAAGCUAGAAGCAAUGAAUAGACGUAGACUGUACCCAGUAAUCACCUGAGCCAGGAUAGAGCCAAGAAAUAUCCACCAGAAACCCAUUAAGUUCCAGAACUUUCAUCAAAAAGAGUAAUCUCCCAGAAAUCAGAAGGAGUUACAUCAGGAGACCACUGACCCUUUACUGUGAAAGCAAAUAAAAAGCAAAAUUGCACAGUUCAUAGGUGCUCCAAGCCCUCCAGAGAGAAGAUGCGUAAGGUUGCCAGUCAGCAGAUGUGGAAGCCCUGCAAGAUCUAUUUGAAGCAGCCAUCCUCUUUGAAGUGGUUCAUCUCAAAUGUUACCUUUCCAAUGGAAAAUUUUAGUCCCGGAGACUUGCAGGCACUAAGAUACAUGUCUGUGUGAAACCUUUCCUCUAGCCCUUCUCGCAGCACAGAGUGGGUGGGUUCACUGUGCCAAGACUGAUGUAGGCACCUCUCCUUUGCCCACAGGCCAUUCUGUGGUGCUUCAUCACAUGCUCUGCUCCCUUUGCCCAGUCAUAGAGCAGGUCUGUUGAGAUCAGGAGCUGUGCUAUUUAUGCAUCCUUUAAUUCUCACUUUCAACAAACACUGAGUGCCUCCAUGUGCCUGGUAAACUGUCAGGUGCUGAGGAUACAGCUAUUACCAAAACCAGAUGUGGUUUUUGUCCACAGGGAGCUGUAUAGACUUCUAGAGAAAACAGACACUUAUCAAAGGAUCACGUGAAUAAUCAUCUAACUAUAAAACUGAGCACAGAGUACCAUGAGUGUAUAAUUUGAUGUAUUUAGAGGGAUCAAGACUUUUCUGUGAAGUAGCAACCUACCUGAAGUCUGAUAGUUAAGUAGGAAUUACCUUGGAAAAAAUAGAGGGAAGGGAAUAACACUCAAGUGUAGAAUCAGCACCAAGUGGGAAGGCCUGUGGAAGUACGGCUCAUGCACUCCAAAUCUAUUUGUCAACAGAGCUGUUACUCGGAAUUGCUGCCUGAAGUGGAAAAUGUUUGGCAUUUCUGGCCUUCAUCCACUGAUAACCAGUGUCCUGGGCCCAAACCUCACUCUGACCCUUUUGACAACCAAAUACUCCCCCACAUAUUGAAACAUAUCUAAGGCAGCUUAACACCUCC
rnacentral:lncRNA from 1 species